GCCGGUCCAGCUCAGCGAGCAGAGCAUUCCCCUGAUAAGGGAAAGACCCGCAGUUCGAGUCCACGGGCCGGUACCC
rnacentral:tRNA from 1 species